rnacentral:ncRNA from 2 species
UGAAGUAAACGGGGGUGUCGGUCAGAACCGGCUGAGAUAGGAACUGUGCGUUCCGGACCCUAUAAAACCUGAUUUGGAUCAUGCCAACGUAGGGAGUGAGCUUUAUUUAACG